AGAAGCUCGCAUGAUGGCAUUUUUUGGCCAAUAACAAUUGCAACACCACACUGCAGUAAAUUUAUUUGACCUCCAGCUAUGAGUUGGUGAACCAAUUAAAGUCGUGCAUUCAAAUCUAAGCUCUACACACAAGCUUUUGAUUCUCUAUUUAUACAAUCACCAACCAAGGGAAGAAGAGUAAGGGCAAUAGAAUCACAUUUGUUAAUCCUAUUAAUCCUAUUCAUGAUUUUUCUUUAAGCUUCGUUAAACAAGUGUUCAACAAAUCAGACUUCUGCCUUUGGGAACAUAGAUUUGGGCCCAAGAUUUAAAAUCCAGGGUAUUUCAAAUCCAAUUCUCUAGUUUGGAUUUUAAGUUGGGCUAACAUUUCAAAUCAAAUUAUUUUAGAGAGAUGGAUUUGAAAGCUCAAAUACAUGUAUUUCAAAUUCCAUAAUUCCCCUUGGUAUUUAUCAAACCCCGACUAGCCUCGCUUCUUUCUCUCGUUUCCAAGUCCCGAUCUCUUCUCUCUCGACACAGCCUAAUCCAGAUGCAAAAGGCUACCAGAAUCGUUUGAUUGAAAAUUAGGAUGAUAUUAUGGUGUUAUGUGCAAAAACUAGAGCCAAUGGUGAAGGUACAAAAAUCUUUGAAGAGUCUGCUAACGCAAUACAACAUGAGGAAUCUGAGGCACAAUCUGAAACAAACAAAGGUGGAAGCUCUUCAAGGAAAUAUCUUCCUAGAGCAUCAACUAGUAGUGAGACAAGUUCAAAGAAAUAAAAGAAGGGGAAUAAAAUGGUUGAUUCACUUGCAGUGAUGAUAACUUCUAUGAGUGAGUAUUUCAAUGAGAGAAAGAAGGAAGUAGUAAGAAAACCACCAACCUGAGAGGAGAUACAUCAGUGGUCUCAAAAAUACCCAACUUAAGUUGUAUUCAAGUGUUCAAUGCAUUUGAGAAGAUAAUGGAUAGCAACCCGUAAAAGUUUUAUUUGUUGAAGUCACUUCCUNUGAUGAAAAAAGAGAUUUUAUUCUUUUUAGUCUUAAGAAGUAGUUUCUAGUUGGAUGACAAGAACCCCCAAAUCUUUUAACUCAUUUGAGUAAGUUCUCUCUUGGAUUUCUUUUUUAGGGCAUAUUUAACUCUCAUUAUUUUGUCAUUUAUGUUAGGAUGCACACUUAUAGUUGUGAUUUGCCAUUGUAGUAGAUAUUAUUUCUGUUUUUAGAGCGUAUUUUGUUUCAUGAACUAAUUGAUGCUAAAUUUUUUAAUGUAGGAUCCAAUAAGUUCUUCGAUACAUGAGUUGGAAGCAUAGGAGAAAAAUGAGGAGAAGACUUUGAAGGAUAAAUAUACGAUUAUUGUUAUGGUUUCUUUUAGUAGUUUAUGGUGUGUUAAUUUAGCUUGUUGUAGAAAAUCAUGAUUAUCUACCACCUAUAGUACAUUGUGUUUAAAUGAAGACUUAUUAUGUAGCCUAGAGCUUCUUAUGUGGAUUGUUCGCUAUACUCUUUUGUGUCUUCAAGUCUUUUAUCAUGGCUAAUUUUUAAAGCA